CUGCCAGAAUUCAUAUGCUUGUCCCGAAGACUCAAGCCAUGCAUGCCUAGAAGAAAAACUGGUGUCCGUGGUUGAACAGUACUCCUGUCAGCCAUGGCACAGGGGAAUCAGCGAACGGCUCCGUAUAUCUGUUGUUACCCAUCGUUGGCAAACGGGGCGUGGAUAUAGCAUGGAAAAGCUGUGUGUAAAACAAGUGAAUGGGGCACAUCCUCCCUCACUUGGCACAGAGGGUGCGCGCUAAGCGGACUCAUCUUUUCCAUGGCUCCCGCCCUGUCAGCGGCUCCCAUAGUACGCUCAAGCCUCAAAAGACUAGAGUGGAAACGGAGGCCUCAGUCAAGAGUUACCGGAAAUGAACUCCCACCCGAGCCUAGCUCGGUGCCGUUUUGCUCUUACUAAUGACUGAGACUAACCAAUAGUGCACGAUGGGCUUCAGACCUAUCAGCCUGAUGGUAGGGCAUAGGCCUACCAUGGCGGUGACGGGUACAGAGGAUUAGGGUUUGAUCCUGGAGAGGUAGCCUGAGAAAUCGCUCCCACUUCUAAGGAAGGCAGCAGGCGCGUAACGUUCCCAAUGCCAUUAACCCCGGUGAGGACGUGAGGGGACAUAACAAUGCUCACCAAAUAGAAGGGAGUAAUUGCAAUGGCAUUAGCUUAAAAA
rnacentral:rRNA from 1 species